rnacentral:lncRNA from 10 species
AUUCAAAUACAUUUACACAGAGGCCCAGGCACAGACAAGGAUGAAAUAGGAGCCAAGGUAUGCUAUGAGCCAAGGAUUAUGAGUAAUCCAGUUUUGUGCACUUUAAGCCAUUUGAAAAACAGAAAAGCAAAACAACAAAAUAAUUUUUAAGAAAUUGAAUAUAGGGUGUUAUGCUCUGAAUGUGUCCCCCUAAAAUUAAUCACCAAUGUCAUAAGAUUAGGAAGUAGGGCUUUAAGGUAGUGAUUCAGUCAUGAAGGGAGAGUGUUCACGAAUGAGUUUAGGAUCCUUACACAAGGACUGGAUGGAGUGGGCUUCCCCUGUUUUGCCCUUCCACCUUCUGCCAUGUGAGGACACAGUGCAUCUCCUCCUGAAGACACAGUGCACAAGAUACCAUCUUGGAUGCAGAGACCAGACCCUCACCAGACACCAAUCCUGCUGGCACCUUGAUCUUGGACUUCUAGCCUAUGGAACUGUAAGAUUGGGGAAGAUGCCAGGUGAUAGAAUCCACCCUGCCUCUGACAGCAUCCAAUCUGGAGCAAAGGCUUAUUUCAACCCUCCCCCAAGCUCCCAAUACAAGCCCAAAUUCUGGAACAGGUCCUUUCCAACACCUCCUUCAGAGAAGCUCCCUGGCUCCAGGCAGUGCUUGCUCCCCUCACUGCAGCAGGAAGCCUAACUUGCGAACUGCAGGUGUGCUCCAGGUGGUCACUGGAUGCAAGAAAUGGUGCGAGAACUUUGGAUGUGGAACGUGGAGGAGGAGGAACACGAAGUGGGGAUCUGCACUUGGGGUGGUCAGCACUGCGGAUGCCCAGCAAAGUCACUGCCUGGUCCACAUCCCGGAGGGGUCUCUGCGCCUCAGUCGGCAUCGCAGCUGAUGGUGAAACUUUUGGUGUGGCAGAAGAGUGUCCACAAACUUCGGAAGUUGCUAGAGAAAACUGAAAACUACUAGUUUUGAAAGCCUCACUUCUGCCAAUGGAAGCACAUUCCAGCAUGUCGCCAACGCAAUCCACUUUCCACCACUUUCACAAAAAACGUUACUGCACAAUUAUACUAUCCUACCCUUAUAUACUUUUUGUGUGUGUGUGUACUUGUAUGUAUGUAUGUUACAUAGGUCAUAUAUAUAUAUAUAUAUAUAUAUAUAUAUGCCAGAGAUGAACAAGCAUUAGAAAAUUAAAUGCACACAGGUCAUGUCAGUGCUAUGUAUAAUGUGGUAUACUAAGUAUAGAUGUUCAACAGUGUGGGAUCUAGGCUGGAACAAGACUCCUAGUCUUAAGCAAUUCUUUCUAGGUUCAGUCUCUGGAAAUAAUGCCUUGGAUCAAAUGUGUGAGAAAAUCAAUGGGUUUUAAAGACUAUUCUAUGUCAACUAUAACAUUUAAUUUGGGGAUUUCUGUCCCUUAUAAUGUCUACCUCAUUUUGGAUGGAAUCCUUGAGGCCUGGUUUAUUUUUCUUUUCCUUUCUACACAUCGCUGCUCAGAGUGAUGAAUGGAGUUGUGUUUUGAAUAAAAUAUCUAUGCAUCCUUUUGUGAGCAAGGAGCAUGAUGGUACUUAGACCUACCAUUUCUCGUUACGGUGGUUACGGUUACAGAGGGGCUGGGGUGUUUACCUGGAGCCUGGACAUCCACUGGGACAUGAUACCCACUGGGAAUUUUUUGUGUCAGCCUGGUCUCUGAUGUCCACCUGGGGAUUGGGUAUCCACCUAAGGCCUGAUGUUUACCUGGAGCCAGAUGUGCACCUGAGACCUGAUGUCUAUCUGUGGCCUUAUGUUCACCUGGGGACCGAUGCACACCUGAAGGAUAGGUAUUCACCUGGGGCCUGAUACCCACCUGUAGUAUGGGUGUCAACCUUGGGGCUAAUGUUCAGCUGGUGUCCACUGUCUACUUGGGGCCUGGUGUACACAUGGGGCCUGGGCAUCCACCUGAGACUUGAUGUUUAAUAUGGUCUGGAGUUCUUUUGGGGCCUGUUGUACCCUGGAGCCUGGGUGUAAACCUGGAGCCUGAUGUCCCAGGUGGACACCCGGGUCCCAGGUGAUCUUCAGGCCCUAGGUGAAAACUCCAGGCUCUAAGUGGACAACCAGGCCCCAGGCUGAUGUUUACUGGGGCCAGAUGUCUACCAGGCCCCAGGUGAAAACUCCAGGCUCCAAGUAGACAACAUGGCCCCAGGUUCCAGGUAGACACUAGAAUCCAAAUCAACACCAGGCCCCAGAUGGACACCCAGGCCUGUGGUGGACAUCAGACUCCAGAAGGUCAUCUGGCUCGAGGUGGACAUCAAGCCCCAGGUGGAUACCUAGUCCCCAGGUGGAUAUCAGGCCCCACUUGGACACCAGUCCCUGGGUAGAUACCUUGGCCUCAGGUGGAUAUCCAGUCUCUAGCUAAGCAUCAGGCUCCAGGGGGACCCAGGCCCUAGCUGACUGGGGACUAGUGUUUAUAUGGGGCCACAUGUCCGUCUGGGCCCUAGGUGUCAACUUGUAGCCUGAUGUCAACCUGGGAGCUGGUGAUCACCAGAGAGGACUAGUCCUCCUGGUGCCUGAUGUCCAACUUGGGACUUUGUGUCCACCUGGAGACCGAUGUCCAUUUGGGACCAGAUGUCCAACUGGAGCAAGAUGUCCACCUGUAGCCUAGAACUUCACCUAAGGCCUGAUGUUCCCCAGGGCCUACAGAGCCUAUGUAUCUACCUAGGGACUUGUGUCCAGGUGGGGCCUGAAUUCCACCUGGGGCCUGGAAUUAACCUGGGACCUGAUGUCCACCUGAGACGUGGGUGUUCCUCUGGAGUCUGAUAUCUAUCUGGGGCCCGGGUGUCCUCCUGUGGUCUGAUGUCCACUUGUAGGCUGGUGUCCACCUGGGGCCUGGGUGUCCACCUAGGAACCUGAUGUAUACCUGAAGUCCAGUGUCUACGUGGGUACUGAUGUCUACCAGGAAAGUGAUAUAAACCUGGGGCCUGAUAGCCACCUGGGCCCUGAGUGUCCACAUAUGUUCUGAUUUCUCUUUUGGCCUGAGUGUAGGGCCUGAGUGCCACCUGCUUCCUGAUGUUCACCAGGAACCUAGGUAUUCACUUGGGGCUUGCUGUUCACCUGGGGCCUAAUGUCCAUGUGAGGCCUGGUAUUCAGCUAGAGCCUGGGCAUCCCCCUGUGGCCUGAUGUUCAGUUGCUGACUAGGAAUUCCACUAAAGCUUGAUGUCCACCUGGGGCAUAGGUAACCACUUGUGGCCUAGUGUUGCCCUGAAGCCUAGGUGUCAACCCAGGGCAUAAUGUCCCCUUGGGGCCUGCUGUCCACCUGCAGACUGGUGUCUACAUAGGGCCUGGUAUCCACCUGGGGUCUGGUGUCUGCCUGGGGCCUAGUGUCCACCUGAAGACUGAGUAUAGACCUCAGAUCUGAUGUAUGCCUGGGGCCUAUUUAUCCACCUGGGGACUAGCAUUCAUCUGGGGCCUCAUGUCCACUUAAGCCCUGGGUGUCAACCUGGUGCCUAAUGGCCACCAGGGAUCUAUGUACUCACUUGGGGCCUGGUGCUCCCACAGGGCCUAGGUAUAAACCUGGAGAAUGAUGUGCAGGUGGAGGUGGAUGUCUUCCUGGGUGCUGGUGUUCACCUGGGGACAAGGGUCUCCCUGGGGACCAGUGUUUAUCGGGAGCCUCAUAUGCACCUUGAACCUGCUGUCUACCUAGGGCCCGAUGUCCAUGUUAAGGCUGGGUGUCCACCUGGGACCUGGUUGUCCACUUGGGGCCUAAUGUCCACCUAAGACCUAGUGUUCACCUAGGGCCUGGGUGUCCACCUGGAGCCUGAUGUUCAGCUGGAGAUGCAUCCAUCCGAAACCUAGGUAUCCACCCAGGUUCUGGUGUCGACCUGGGGUCUUAUGUCCACCUGGGGACUAGAUAUCUACCUGAGGCUUGAUGUCCACCUGGAGCCCGAUAUCCACCUCAGAGCUGGGUGUCCACCCAAGUUCUGGUAUCCACCCGGAGCCUGGUGUUCAUCUGGGGCCCAGUGCCCACCUGGAACCUGGGUAUCACCAUGGGGCCUGGGUGUCCACUUGGAACGUGAUGUGCACCUGGGACCUGAGUUUCCACCUAGGGCCUGAUGACCACCGGAGACCCAGGUGUCCACCUGGGGUCUGAUGUCUACCUGAAGCCUAGGUAACCACCUGUGCCUUGGUGUUACCUGUGCCUUGAUUUCCACCUGAGCCUGAUGUACACCUGGGGCCUGGGUGUCCAUCUGAGGCCUGAUGUACACCUCAAGUCCAGUGUCCACUUGUGGCCUGAUGUCAACUUGGAAGCUGAUAUCCACCUGGGGACUGAUGUUCUCCUGGGGUCUGAUAUCCAACUGGGAUCAGAUGUUCACCUAAGGCCUGGAGUUAAUCUGGGGCCUGAUGGUCACCAGGGACCCAGGUGUCCACCUAGGGCCUAGUGACCAACUAGGGCCUGAUGUCCACCUGGAGUCUAGUAUCCGCCUUGGCCCUGAUGCUACUUGAGGCCUGGGUGUCUUCCUAGAACCUGAGUCCCCAACUGGGCCCUGAUGUCCACCUGAGGCCUGGUGUCCUUGUAGGGCCUGAUAUCUACCUAAGGCCUGGGUAUCCUCCUGCAGCCUGAUGCUCACCUGUAGGCUGGUGUCCAUAUGGGGCCUGGGUGUUCACCUGUGAGCCUGAUGUACACCUGGAGUCCGGUGUCCCCUUGGUUACUAAUACGUACCAGGAAAAUGGUAUAUACCUGGGGCCUGAUAUACACCUGGAGCCUGUGUGUCCACUUGAGCCCUGAUGUCCACCUGGGGCCUGGUGUUUACCUGGGGCCUCUAUCCACCCACUACCGAAAGUCAAGUUAGGAAAAGGGCCCAGGAUAGGUGAGGAGCACAGAACAGGGACCUCAUUCAUAAGAAAUUCUGCUGUAGAAUGUGUGCUCUAAGCUCUUAAAACAGCUCUGCCUCAGGAAAGACUGUCCAGGGCAUAGGAAGCCCACACACAGGGUGGGAUGACAAGUUUGCAUCUGGCAUGGCUGGGAGCCCUGGGGGCCUCUGCCCUUUUGGCCGCGUUGUCUCCUGGCUUUUAGGGUGGUGGGAUUCUCGGCUCUGAUUGCAGCAGGUGGAUUCACUUAGCUCUCCUCCCCUUUUAGCAUUACUGUCUUCUGUAAUAAACCUCUCACUUUGAUCUGCCAGGCUGUCAAAUGCUUUGAUUGCCCUCUCUGUUUUGUUCCAAUGGUUCAUCAAUCCAAAUAUCCACAACACAAGGACAGAUUUUAGUCUCUUCAUACAGUGGGAUAUUUCACAGCUAUUAAAACAAAUCAAAUAAAUGCUUGUGUAUUGAUAUGCAAAGUUGUCCUGCAUCAAUAACUUUUAAACACAUUUUAUGAUCCCACAUCUAUAUCUAUACAUAAUGUUUGCCACUGCUUAAACAAAACAAAAUCUAAGCUUUAGACUCCAAAUGGAAUUACAGGGGAAUCUUGAUGUCUGUGUUCUGCAGUUCUGUCAUGUUUGAAAUUGUCAAAUAAACAUGGUGCCUUUCCAGUA